UGGGUUUCCAUGCCCUCCUCCAGGGGAGCUUUCAGGGAUCCUCCAGGGAUCAACCCUCAUCUCUUCUGUCUCCUGCAUUGGCAGACAUGCUUGAAGUUUUACAUAAUGAAGUGGAAUGUCAAGGGGAGCAAGGAUGGACAGUUACAGGUCUCAACAGAGGCUUGAGAGGCCUGAGCAGCACAAAAUUCCUGCAACACUGCCCGCCACCAGCCUGGUCUGCUUGCUUCCUACACGAUCACUGCUCCAGAACAGCGUAAAGAGAAACCCUCGAGAGACCUUCAGAGACCUCCUGGAAAGAGGGGUCCCGUCCCAGCGGCCAGCUUGCCCCUUGCUGAACACAUUCACACGAUCGAUCCCACAAGACCAGCAGAAAGACUGCCCAGCCAAUCCACAGAAUUGUCAGAAAAGAAAAUGGUUAUUGUUUAACGUUCCUGUUUGGGGUUGAUUUGUUAUUCAGCAACAGUGAGCAAACAGGGUUCUUCAACCUAUCUGAGGAAGUCCUGGCCUGUGACCACCUUUGUCAGCAGAGACACAGCCCAGGCAGUGAGGAGAGGAGCCUGAGGGCACAUGUUCU